AGCAGAAGAAACAGUUAAACUGAUGUGUAUGUCCAUAUAAUUAAUGGGAUUUUUCAGAUAUGAAAAUGUGGAUGCACCCUCACACACUCCCUUUCACAAUCUAUGCAGGAAUUGACUUCUGUAGCGCUUUGGAGGCGUUGGGGAGGAACCUGUGAAUGCUAUAGUUAUUUGCAGAAGAGAAUGAUGGAGACACUGCUGUACUGCAGGUGCCAGGAAUAAAGCCCAUAUGCCUACCAAGCGAUUGCUGUUCAAGGUAAAGCUCCACAGCACAGAGGAUUUGUUGGCAGAAAACGAAAGAGGCGAUGCCACUGGGUUACUUUUGCCAUCUCUAAUAAAUCUGCAGAUUAAUUUCCUGGCUUCCACAACUGAACCGACUCACAACCAUAUGGUUCCCCAUUUCUCGUGUUUGUUCUGGGGAGAGCUAAGCAAUGAUCAGAAGGAAUCAUAAAUGUGGAAGAAUCGUGUGACUUUAUUUAUCCCAGUUGCCUCGUCCGGCUGGCAGUACGAGAUCAGAAUUGGAUUUUAUUUGCCUUUUUGCAAUUUCCUUCUGUUUACAGUCUGCCCCCUGAUUCCCCUUCUGAAUUGAAGUGUGGCAUGACAUGUUUAUCUGAUUUAUUUAUGUGUAAAGAAGAGUCCCUGGGACUCUUCUGAACCAUGCUUGGUAUAAUCUUAUUGAGAGUCUUAUGAAAUUAGUGGUUCAUGGGCUGCACAUGACAUUUUGGUACAGAGAUAUGUUAUUAAUGCUGUGUCUUCAAGUCUCAAAGACAAUUUGCUGCAUGAAGCACUAAUCUCAAUAAUAAAUGGCCGAAGGCCUGG